rnacentral:rRNA from 1 species
UACGUAGGGGGCUAGCGUUGUCCGGAAUCAUUGGGCGUAAAGAGCGUGUAGGCGGUCCGGUAAGUCCGUUGUGAAAGUCAGGGGCUCAACCCUUGAAUGCCGGCGGAUACUGUCGGGCUAGAGUCCGGAAGAGGCGAGUGGAAUUCCCGGUGUAGCGGUGAAAUGCGCAGAUAUCAGGAGGAACACCGGUGGCAAAGGCGGGUCUCUGGGCCGAUACUGACGCUGAGGAGCGAAAGCAUGGGUAGCGAACAGG